rnacentral:rRNA from 1 species
UUUAUGGAGAGUUUGAUCCUGGCUCAGGAUAAACGCUGGCGGCGUGCCUAAUACAUGCAAGU